rnacentral:rRNA from 1 species
AUUGAACGCUGGCGGCAGGCCUAACACAUGCAAGUCGAACGAGUGGCGGACGGGUGAGUAAUGUCUGGGAAACUGCCCGAUGGAGGGGGAUAACUCCUGGAACCGGUAGCUAAUACCGCAUCCCAUCGGAUGUGCCCAGAUGGGAUUAGCUAGUAGGUGGGGUAAGGGCUCACCUAGGCGACGAUCCCUAGCUGGUCUGAGAGGAUGACCGGCCAAACUGGAACUGAGACACGGUCCAGACUCCUACGGGAGGCAGCAGUGGGGAAUAUUGGACAAUGGGCGCAAGGCUGAUGCAGCCAUGCAGCGUGGAUGAAGAAGGCCUUCGGGUUGUAAAGUAAUUUAAGCGAGGAGGCGUUACUCGCAGAAGAAGCACCGGCUAACUCCGUGCCAGCAGCCGCGGUAAUUC